rnacentral:misc_RNA from 1 species
GAUGAAGAACGUAGCGAAAUGCGAUAAGUAGUGUGAAUUGCAGAAUUCAGUGAAUCAUCGAAUCUUUGAACGCACAUUGCGCCCCUUGGUAUUCCAUGGGGCAUGCCUGUUCGAGCGUCAUUUGUACCCUCCAGCCCUGCUGGGUAUUGGGCGUUUUGUUCCGCUACGCGCGUGAACUCGCCUCAAAUGCAUUGGCAGCCCGCCGUCCCGUGUGGGAGCGCAGCACAUUUUGCGCUCUCCGCUGCUGACGGUGGCAUCCACAAGUCUACCAUUUUACGCUUGACCUCGGAUCAGGUAGGGAUACCCGCUGAACUUAAGCAUAUCAAUAAGCGGAGGA